UGGGGAAUCUUGCACAAUGGGGGCAACCCUGAUGCAGCGACGCCGCGUGAGCGAUGAAGCCCUUCGGGGUGUAAAGCUCUUUCGGCAGGGACGAUAAUGACGGUACCUGCAGAAGCAGCUGCGGCUAACUACGUGCCAGCAGCCGCGGUAAUACGUAGGCAGCGAGCGUUGUUCGGAGUUACUGGGCGUAAAGGGUGUGUAGGCGGUUUUCUAAGUUUGGUGUGAAAUCUCCCGGCUUAACCGGGAGGGUGCGCCGAAAACUGGGAGACUAGAGUGCGGGAUGGGAGAGUAGAAUUCCUGGUGUAGCGGUGAAAUGCGUAGAUAUCAGGAGGAAUACCGGUGGUGCAGACGGCUCUCUGGACCGCAACUGACGCUGAGACACGAAAGCGUGGGUAGCAAACA
rnacentral:rRNA from 1 species